CAGAGUUAGGGUUUUUCGAUCCGCACUCCAUUUCAGAAGGAGAUUGCUUCAAUCUCGUUGAUGCUCUCCAAGAAUUCUAAUCUCUCUCAGUUUAUCAUACCCAAAAUAAGAAAGAAAUAAAAAGAAAAAAAGGAAAAUGUUUCUUCGUCUCUCUCUAUCUCUCUCUCUCUCACUCUCGGUCGGUCGCUGAGUUGAUUAGUUUCCCUUUCAGUUCCAAUUUCAAUUCAAUUCAAUGAUCCAUUUCCAUUCAUUCAUUCAUUCUCUCGCUUUCUGGCUCUCUCUUAACUCAAAGAGGCAGUGACGAUGGUAGCGGAGUGCGGAACUAAAGGCUCCAUCGUCGUGAAGCAAUGCUCGCCGGUGGCGGGGCAACCCACCGCGGUGGAUCCUGUUGCAGCCAUCCAUGGCUGCGUUGGUUUGCGACGGCCUGGCCUCGUGUUGUAUCAAAUCUGAGCCUCCACAACCGAAACCCUAACCGGUUCUGUUUCUAUUUGGCGGCGUGCUGUUAAUGCUGUGUUUGGUAGAUACAUGUGGAGGAAGAGAUGUGAAGUGUGUUUUCCACCGAAUUCGUGCACUCUCACUCUCUUACUCCACAUGUCAUCUAACAAACACAACGUUAAUCUGAUCGAUUCUUUUUGCUUCAAAUUUUCGGCCCUAAGAUGAUGCCUUUUCAAGUUUUCCCCAUUUUUUAGUCCCCGAAAGAUGGUAUCUUUUAUUUACAUUCCAGUUUUGCCAAGUUGUUUUGUGUUAAAUGAUUGCCGUUUUGUUAAUUUGUGUUAUUGCUUCUAUCCACUUAUUUAUUAUUAAAGGCUUCAGCUUUGGUGGCUUUACUCGAAGGUUUGUAUCAAAACAUCACUUGAUUUAUAUAUAGUGUUAUAGUUCUAGAUGAUGUUCAUUCAUUUUUGUAUUAUUGUGGCCAUAGAUGUAUCUUUUGAUAAAUAAGAUUCUACUGUCUUGUGAUACUGCUGCUAUCGUUUAUGAGGAUGAUCACUUUUGUUAAUAUGCUUUGUCCCUUGUUUACAGGAUAUUGCUUCAAUUUCUGUUUUACUUCACUUUUUUUGUGAGAGAUAUUAUUACUUAUACCUAUAUGCUAUUAUUAAAAGCUGUUAGCCUUGGCUGUUAUAGUCACUCAUUCUUGAUAAAGACUAUCAGUUAUAAGAGCUUCAUAUUGACUCUAGCUUCUAUAUAUACUAGUAUAUGUUAUGGUUCAGAAUAUUAAACACUGUUCAGUUUUCUCUUAAUUUCUAUUUUAUUACUUUCACAUGGUAUCAUGAGCUUCAAUGAUCCAUGGCUGACAACACAAAGUCUGCAAGUUUUGCUGAUAGCACAGCAACGGUUGUGCAAACUUCGCCUACCAUCAUCAACGCUUCUGAAGGAAUUUUUUCUUUUAUAAAAUAUUAAAAAAUUUAAUUUCCAAAACAAUUAAAAAGACAUUAUUUUCAGGAUUAACUUUUUUUUUGUUUUGUCUUGGGAAUUACAUUUUUUUGUAUUUUAUGAAAGAAAAAGUUCCUUCACAUUUUUUAACAUGAAGACACCUUGCUACCCCCUCACAUUUUUUUUUUCUCUCCAGAUUUACCAGGAUAAGUUCGUUAUUGAGUUGCUUAUGUUCUGGCCAACGCCAUUCCAAUGAAGAUGUGGAAAUUAUACACAGGAUGGAAUAAACGGAACAUCAAAACAUGGGAACGAACAAAAAGCAUUGGGCUUUGGUUGGACAAUUUUAAUGAAGCUUACUAAGUUGAGAGUGAAAAUUGCAAUCCAUUUGGGCAAAGCAUCAAGAGAGUCAUGUUUUCUUCUAGGUGUGUUCAUAUAGUGAAGGAGACAUGGGGGGUUGAAAUGGGAGACAUGCAAUGCACUAUACCCGUUACACUUGGACUCUCGGGACAAAGUGUUGAGGCAUCACAUUUGGUUCAUAAGAAGUCUUCAUGAUACAAACUUCUUGCCUCCAUUGAUUUCCAUGAAAAUUUUUCAAUUGAGAUAACGGAUCAAAGAACUGACAUGAACAAUUCACUUGGGCUUGAUUGAGGUUCAGCUGCACAUCAAAGAAGCUGUUUCAACUGCACUAAGUGAACCUGGUAAAGUAAAUAGAAGGACACAUUUAAGGUUUCUUGUAUCCACAUUAAAUUGGGACACAUGGUCUUAUUGUGACAUCAUUGACAUGAGUUACUACAACAGGAUUAUAUGUUUGUCAAGACUGGAUGAUGUUGAUUUGAAUGUAUGUGUAAAAAUAUUUUUAUACUGAUAAUAAAUUAAAAUUAUAUUA